AGACAAAGUAAUAACAAAACGUAUGAAUACAAAUCACCUUACCACCGCAAUUACAUGCAUUAACCGUCAGUACUGAAAACUAAACACGGACAUAAAACAAAGUUUCAUUCUCAUGCAACUAAACAAUUCAACCAACUUAAACGACAAUACACCAAACCCAGAUCUCCUCCGGAACGCACUCAUUGCUUUCCCAUGGAAUUUCUCUCCACUGAGUUAUGGAGAGUUUCCAUGGAGACCAACAAUGAAGCAAGUGACAGCUGCAUCACCUACAAAACAUACAAAUUUAUUUGGUUAUUAUUUAACUAAUUUUUUUUUUUAUUAUUUUAGGAUUGAGGAUGCGGUUCCUGAAAAGGCGUCCACAACAAAAUUUGCUGUUUAUUGAGAUAUACUCUCAAUAAAUAGCAAAAACCAAAGAUUCUGGAUGCCUGGGAAAUGGAAAGGAAUUCGGAUGAGGACAAGGAACGGGAGGUACAAGGGAUGCUGAGAUGGGUAUGGGAGGCAGUUCACCAGGCGUCCGCAACAAAAUUUGCUACUUAUUGGGAUACAUUCCCAAUAAGGAGUAAAAAUGCACAGAGUGUAGUCAGUCGUCUGGUAUAUAAAACAUGCAGAUGCCCAUCUUAAGGAGGAUGGAAAACUAACAGGUUUUCGAGUUCAUACAUAUGACUCCCUAUUUGUUUAACAAUUCGACACUUAACAUAUUUUGAAGACAGCUUGGCGGAAAAAAAUUUUGAAGAAUCGCUCAAAAUAAAAUUCUUCUAUAUACUUCCUGUCCGGGCACAUAUCGGGUGUUCUUAGUUCGCCGACUUCUUAUUUGCUUUUAAAAAUUUUCACGGAUUUGAUUUCGAAUGCAUUGCAAUCGGCUUUGUCGGAGAAGAAUCAACAACUCGUUGUCGUCCAUUGCGUUCAACUUUUUCGCCAGUUCAUAACUACUACCGUGCAUCAUCAUAUUAGUACCAAAUAAGGCAUAAUAUGGGGAUACACCUGUAGCACUAUGAACUGUACUCCUUAACGCACACGCAAUAUCGCUAAGGUGCGUA